AGUGAGGUGGGGUUUACGGAGUUGGUAUUUUGAGAGGAUUGUGGAGGUUGUGGAUAUGCAGAGGGGUCUCAACAAGAAACCCAUUGUUGUCGCCAUCGUCACUGCAGCGGUGCUGUACUGGCUAAGAUUUUUAACAAAUAAAAUCUUAAUGAAAAAUAUAUUAGUUUGAAAGUCUCUGCAUGACUGUGCAUAACUGCAAUGCUUCGACCUUCUUCAUCUCAUUCAUAACCCAAAUUUGAAGGUUUGCUGAUAAGUUUCAAGACGAGGAUAUUUCUUCCCAAAGACAUUUGACUAAUUCCGGUGCUUGAGAUAAAGAGUCUGUACUGUUGAUGAUGAACUUCAUUGCUGGAACUAAAAGACACAAAAUUAUUGUUUUUUAAUUUUUAUUGUUUUUGUUUAUUGAAUUAAAGCAUCAAGUUUCUGUCUUGC
rnacentral:lncRNA from 1 species